rnacentral:lncRNA from 1 species
CCAGGUGCUUUCCAUGUUCACUCCAGGUUGCUGAAACAAGAAGUGUGUCCAGCCUCCAGGGCUUGCCAGCAGCUAUUGACUGAUACGAGCACACUGUCCUCGGUGGCAGGAGGGAGCAACUUGCUUUAUCUAUGCAUUCCCUGGCAAGCAGCAGCAGUGGAGAAAGAGACAUGUCUCACUGGCCAGUGUCCAGUCCCUGGCAAGCCAAAUCAUUCUACAAGCUCUGAAACUGAAGAUAAAAAAUCAGCAAUGGAACAUUGCUGCUUGAGUCAGAGGUGUGAAGGAAUCAGCUCUCCACUCCAUGAUCCAUCCUCCAGCUCACAGCUGGUACAAAUGGGUGUGACUCAUUGCACAGCCAGAGGUUAUAAUGAAGUAUCCCACUCAUCCUUUAGCUCACCCUUUGUUCGAGACAAUGUGGAUUGCGGAAGGUUUCUGAGGAGGUAAGAGGAUUGCAAAAGAGUCAAAGACUCCUCUUUUAUCUUACCUAUGUGUGGGCAGUGAAACUGCCUGAUAUGAAACCAGUUGGGUGCAAAGGUGGGCAUGGAGGUUCAUUUGUCAUUGUGUCGAGGGUUGAAACUCAGAAGAUGCAGUAGCUGUCAUUAAAGAUAGGCGCCCAAACUUAAAUCACCUCACCCUGAGGGUAAGUCCAGAGAGACAAUCCCAGGAUAACACACUUCUCCCAACAUUUCCUCUAUGCUUUAGUUUCCAACAGGACAGAGGAUGAAAACCAAGCAGGCAUUUUUCAGUUUAAAAAAAAAUCUUGUUCCCUGCAUUUUAUGAUUUACAUCUGGAAAUGACUCUAAGUGCAAGAUUUUGCCAUUACCGUGCAAAUAAGAAUCCUGUGGCAUUAGAGUUUUUGAAAUAUAAAUAUAUGUUUCUUAGCAUAAAGUGACGUAUCUUCCAGAAGCACAGUUCUCUUGGAAAGAAUGUCUUGCUGCUGAUUAUGAAAAUGGCAUGAAAGUCAUGGGCUGAAUUAAAUAUUUUUCCAUAUGGGAAAAUUGAUGGGAAAGCUUCCUGGUAUCAUCAGUUCAUGUGAAGCAGAGGAAGAGAUCCUUUUACCACAGAAGUGUCAAAAUCCAGAGCUAUUCUGAAUCAAUUUGCUCUUUUAAUUGUCUUGUACAGACGUCUGUCUCU